rnacentral:rRNA from 1 species
AGAGUUUGAUCCUGGCUCAGAUUGAACGCUGGCGGCAUGCCUUACACAUGCAAGUCGAACGGCAGCACGGGGGCAACCCUGGUGGCGAGUGGCGAACGGGUGAGUAAUACAUCGGAACGUGUCCUGUAGUGGGGGAUAGCCCGGCGAAAGCCGGAUUAAUACCGCAUACGCUCUACGGAGGAAAGGGGGGGAUCUUAGGACCCUCCCGCUACAGGGGCGGCCGAUGGCAGAUUAGCUAGUUGGUGGGGUAAAGGCCUACCAAGGCGACGAUCUGUAGCUGGUCUGAGAGGACGACCAGCCACACUGGGACUGAGACACGGUCCAGACUCCUACGGGAGGCAGCAGUGGGGAAUAUUGGACAAUGGGCGCAAGCCUGAUCCAGCAAUGCCGCGUGUGUGAAGAAGGCCUUCGGGUUGUAAAGCACUUUUAUCAGGAGCGAAA